rnacentral:rRNA from 1 species
UACGUAGGGUCCGAGCGUUGUCCGGAAUUAUUGGGCGUAAAGAGCUCGUAGGCGGUUUGUCGCGUCUGCCGUGAAAGUCCGGGGCUCAACUCCGGAUCUGCGGUGGGUACGGGCAGACUAGAGUGAUGUAGGGGAGACUGGAAUUCCUGGUGUAGCGGUGAAAUGCGACAGAUAUCAGGAGGAACACCGAUGGCGAAGGCAGGUCUCUGGGCAUUAACUGACGCUGAGGAGCGAAAGCAUGGGGAGCGAACAGG